rnacentral:rRNA from 1 species
GAACGCUGGCGGUCUGCUUAACACAUGCAAGUCGAACGAACUCUUCGGAGUGAGUGGCGGACGGGUGAGUAACGCGUGAGAAUCUGCCUGUGGGUCGGGGACAACCACUGGAAACGGUGGCUAAUACCGGAUGAGCCGAAAGGUAAAAAAUUUAUUGCCCACAGAUGAGCUCGCGUCUGAUUAGCUAGUUGGUAAGGUAAAAGCGUACCAAGGCGACGAUCAGUAGCUGGUCUGAGAGGAUGAGCAGCCACACUGGGACUGAGACACGGCCCAGACUCCUACGGGAGGGCAGCAGUGGGGAAUUUUCCGCAAUGGGCGAAAGCCUGACGGAGCAAGACCGCGUGGGGGAGGAAGGUUUUUGGAUCGUAAACCCCUUUUGUCAAGGAAGAAGUUCUGACGGUACUUGACGAAUAAGCCUCGGCUAACUCCGUGCCAGCAGCCGCGGUAAUACGGAGGAGGCAAGCGUUAUCCGGAAUGAUUGGGCGUAAAGCGUCUGUAGGUGGCCAGCUAAGUCUGCUGUUAAAGAUCACAGCUCA